CCUACGGGAGGCAGCAGUGAGGAAUAUUGGUCAAUGGUCGGGAGACUGAACCAGCCAAGCCGCGUGAGGGAUGAAGGUACAGAGUAUCGUAAACCUCUUUUGUCAGGGAACAAAGGCGGGGACGUGUCCCCGGAUGAGUGUACCUGAAGAAAAAGCAUCGGCUAACUCCGUGCCAGCAGCCGCGGUAAUACGGAGGAUGCGAGCGUUAUCCGGAUUUAUUGGGUUUAAAGGGUGCGCAGGCGGUCUGUUAAGUCAGCGGGCAAAGCCCGGGGCUCAACCCCGGCCCGCCGUUGAAACUGGCAGUCUCGAGUUGGAGAGAAGUAUGCGGAAUGCGCGGUGUAGCGGUGAAAUGCAUAGAGAUCGCGCAGAACUCCGAUUGCGAAGGCAGCAUGCCGGCUCCACACUGACGCUGAGGCACGAAAGCGUGGGUAUCGAACAGGAUUAGAUACCCUUGUAGUC
rnacentral:rRNA from 1 species